AACGUAGGACGCAAGCGUUAUCCGGAGUUACUGGGCGUAAAGCGCGUGCAGGCGGCUCUGUAAGUCUGAUGUGAAAGCGCCCGGCUCAACCGGGCGAGGCCAUUGGAAACUUCAGAGCUGGAGGGCAGUAGAGGCAGGCGGAAUUCCGGGUGGAGUGGUGAAAUGCGUAGAGAUCCGGAGGAACACCGGUGGCGAAGGCGGCGACCUGGGUAGAUACUGACGCUGAGGUGCGAAAGCGUGGGGAGCAAACAGG
rnacentral:rRNA from 1 species